rnacentral:rRNA from 1 species
CCUACGGGUGGCAGCAGUGGGGAAUAUUGCACAAUGGGGGAAACCCUGAUGCAGCGACGCCGCGUGAGUGAAGAAGUAUCUCGGUACGUAAAGCUCUAUCAGCAGGGAAGAAAAUGACGGUACCUGACUAAGAAGCCCCGGCUAACUACGUGCCAGCAGCCGCGGUAAUACGUAGGGGGCAAGCGUUAUCCGGAUUUACUGGGUGUAAAGGGAGCGUAGACGGCAGCACAAGUCUGGAGUGAAAUCCCGGGGCUUAACCCCGGAACUGCUCUUGGAACUGCAUGGCUGGAGUACAGGAGGGGCAGGCGGAAUUCCUAGUGUAGCGGUGAAAUGCGUAGAUAUUAGGAGGAACACCGGUGGCGAAGGCGGCCUGCUGGACUGUGACUGACGUUGAGGCCCGAAGGCGUGGGGAGCAAACAGGAUUAGAUACCCUUGUAGUC